ACAUACACACCACGAACAAAGCACUUAGACAAAACAAAACAAAACAAAACAAAACACAACAACACACAACAUCAUAGUUCCCCUUUUUUCCCUUUUCCACUCCCCUCUCUGUUUUGACCAUCUUCCAUCUC
rnacentral:ribozyme from 1 species